GACGAACGCUGGCGGCGUGCCUAAUACAUGCAAGUCGAGCGAAAAUUUGAGAGCUUGCUCUCAAAUUUUUAGCGGCGGACGGGUGAGUAACACGUGGGCAACCUGCCCUGUAGACUGGGAUAACUUCGGGAAACCGAAGCUAAUACCGGAUAAUCUUUUGUGCCACAUGGCAUGAAAGUAAAAGUUGGGGUUUUACCUAACACUACAGGAUGGGCCCGCGGCGCAUUAGCUAGUUGGUAAGGUAAUGGCUUACCAAGGCGACGAUGCGUAGCCGACCUGAGAGGGUGAUCGGCCACACUGGGACUGAGACACGGCCCAGACUCCUACGGGAGGCAGCAGUAGGGAAUCUUCCGCAAUGGACGAAAGUCUGACGGAGCAACGCCGCGUGAACGAUGAAGGCCUUCGGGUCGUAAAGUUCUGUUGUUAGGGAAGAACAAGUACCGUUCAAAUAGGGCGGUACCUUGACGGUACCUAACCAGAAAGCCACGGCUAACUACGUG
rnacentral:rRNA from 1 species